ACCAAUGAGAAUUUCGCGUCACGAUUUGAGACGCAGAUAUUCGAAUUCAUUAGUCAUCGAUGCAGGCUCUCAAUUCAGCUUGAGAGCCUGUUCGCAGGCUAACUCAAAAACAGAGAUGAUGGACAAGUCAAUUACGUAUAAAAGCUCCUAUCUAUAUGGAACGAAACUAGGGAACUUGAACCUUUUAGCUCAUUUAAGAAAUCUUUAAAUAACGGAUUACUUAGAGACAACUAACUGUAUGACCGAUUCUUACGUACAUGUUCUUAUUUGCCUAUAAAUAUUGCAUGUACAACAUUAAUAAGUGAUAGUAUAAUUAGGAUAACAUGUAAUAAUAUAUUCAACUAUAAUUUCAAUUUAUAGUUUGUUAUAAAAUUUUGACUACUAAUCUUUCACAAUCCCAUCAUCUGGUGCUGUGAUCACCAAAUCGUUAAUAAAUAAAUGCUUUACUAGUACCAUUACUACCAUCACUACCAUUACUAAUACCACCAGCACCCGCCCUUAUCACCCCACC